rnacentral:rRNA from 1 species
GACGAACGCUGGCGGCGUGCUUAACACAUGCAAGUCGAACGGAAAGGCCCUGCUUUUGUGGGGUGCUCGAGUGGCGAACGGGUGAGUAACACGUGAGUAACCUGCCCUUGACUUUGGGAUAACUUCAGGAAACUGGGGCUAAUACCGGAUAGGAGCUCCUGCUGCAUGGUGGGGGUUGGAAAGUUUCGGCGGUUGGGGAUGGACUCGCGGCUUAUCAGCUUGUUGGUGGGGUAGUGGCUUACCAAGGCUUUGACGGGUAGCCGGCCUGAGAGGGUGACCGGCCACAUUGGGACUGAGAUACGGCCCAGACUCCUACGGGAGGCAGCAGUGGGAAAUAUUGCACAAUGGGCGGAAGCCUGAGGCAGCAACGCCGCGUGCGGGAUGACGGCCUUCGGGUUGUAAACCGCUUUCGCCUGUGACGAAGCGUGAGUGACGGUAAUGGGUAAAGAAGCACCGGCUAACUACGUG